UUAAGACUUAUUUUAGUGGUUCAUUAAGUCUUAUUCAACCAAGAAGUGAAAUUAAACAAGUCGUUUAAAAAAGGGUGCAAGUAUCGAACGAUACCACGUCAGUAAUCGAUACCGAUACCGCUGUUUGUGGUAUCGCUGGUAUCGAAUACCAAGUACUCGGUAUCGCCCAUCACUAUUAAUAUUAUUAAGGAAAUGUACAAUUUGAUUGACACUUCGGAUAUAGUAUAUAACAUGUGAGCGAGCGUUGACUUUAGAACGGGAAUUAUAACUUAUACAAAACGUGAUAUUAUAAAGUCUUUACUUCUUCGAACCGAUUGUGGGAAUCAAAUGAAACUUCACAGUAUUUCUUUAUAAUGGCCUUCCUUGUAAAAGGCAAUGGCACUAUUUCAUUGAACAUUCAAGGGACAAUCGCCUUUUAAAACAAAUAUGCACAUUUUUAUGCUCGAGUUACAAUGUUUGAUUUUGAUAUCUGCAUUUUAUGCGAUUCAUACCU